CAGCCUGCCCAGUGACAAAGUUCAACGGCCGCGGUACCCUAACCGUGCGAAGGUAGCAUAAUCACUUGUUCUUUAAAUGAGGACUUGUAUCAACGGCACUACGAGGGCUAUACUGUCUCCUUUUUCUAAUCAGUGAAACUGAUCUCCCCGUGAAGAAGCGGGGAUCAAAAUAUAAGACGAGAAGACCCCAUGGAGCUUUAAACUUACCACCCACCUCUGUGGUACCACACCAUUCAACACAAGAGACCUGCGUGCUAGUUUUAGGUUGGGGGGACCACGGAGUAUAAUUAAACCUCCACAACAAAUGGGCUAAUACCCUUAUCCACGAGACACAACUCUAAGAAUUACUAAACUAAUGCUUAUGACCCGAUAUUCGAUCAAUGAACCAAGUUACCCUGGGGAUAACAGCGCAAUCUACUUCAAGAGCCCCUAUCGACAAGUAGGUUUACGACCUCGAUGUUGGAUCAGGGUAUCCCGGUGGUGCAGCCGCUACCGAUGGUUCGUUUGUUCAACGAUUAAAACCCUACGUGAUCUGA
rnacentral:rRNA from 1 species